rnacentral:rRNA from 1 species
AACGAACGCUGGCGGCAGGCUUAACACAUGCAAGUCGAGCGCCCCGCAAGGGGAGCGGCAGACGGGUGAGUAACGCGUGGGAACGUGCCCUUUGGUUCGGAACAACUCCGGGAAACUGGAGCUAAUACCGGAUAAGCCCUUCGGGGGAAAGAUUUAUCGCCAAAGGAUCGGCCCGCGUCUGAUUAGCUAGUUGGUGGGGUAAUGGCCCACCAAGGCGACGAUCAGUAGCUGGUCUGAGAGGAUGAUCAGCCACACUGGGACUGAGACACGGCCCAGACUCCUACGGGAGGCAGCAGUGGGGAAUAUUGGACAGUGGGCGCAAGCCUGAUCCAGCCAUGCCGCGUGAGUGAUGAAGGCCUUAGGGUUGUAAAGCUCUUUUGUCCGGGAAGAUAAUGACUGUACCGGAAGAAUAAGCCCCGGCUAACUUCGUGCCAGCAGCCGCAGUAAUAC